rnacentral:rRNA from 1 species
AGUGAACGCUGGCGGUAGGCCUAACACAUGCAAGUCGAACGGCAGCACAGAGGAGCUUGCUCCUUGGGUGGCGAGUGGCGGACGGGUGAGGAAUACAUCGGAAUCUACUCUGUCGUGGGGGAUAACGUAGGGAAACUUACGCUAAUACCGCAUACGACCUACGGGUGAAAGCAGGGGAUCUUCGGACCUUGCGCGAUUGAAUGAGCCGAUGUCGGAUUAGCUAGUUGGCGGGGUAAAGGCCCACCAAGGCGACGAUCCGUAGCUGGUCUGAGAGGAUGAUCAGCCACACUGGAACUGAGACACGGUCCAGACUCCUACGGGAGGCAGCGGUGGGGAAUAUUGGACAAUGGGCGCAAGCCUGAUCCAGCCAUACCGCGUGGGUGAAGAAGGCCUUCGGGUUGUAAAGCCCUUUUGUUGGGAAAGAAAUCCAGCUGGCUAAUACCCGGUUGGGAUGACGGUACCCAAAGAAAAAGCACCGGCUAACUACGUGCCAGCCGCCGCCGUAA